UUUUUUGCUUGCUGUUCACUCUGGACGCAGGGACGCAGCGUGUCUGUGACCGCCGGGGGCCCCCGUACGGGGUCGCCCCCGAGGCAACGGGUUGAAACGACUCAGGGUGGGAGGUUGGGCCCCGGGGGGGCCCUUCGCUCGUUAAUGAUCCCUCCGCAGGUUCACCUACGGAGA
rnacentral:misc_RNA from 1 species